rfam:Procavia capensis cont1.82585, whole genome shotgun sequence.
AGGCAAAGCUAGGCUAGGUCUUUGAGCUGGAAUGAGGCGCUGCUGGGUGAAGCACGGAUCCUGAUGAAUAGACUGGGGAAAAAAAAAGCCGAAAUGGAUUCUCGCUGUCUGGCUGGAGACGAGAGGCGAACUGCAGGCUCCUGCGACUCGUUCUGUCCGAGGACAGUGAUCAGGCUGGGCUGACGGAAGGCUCAGGGAACCUCACGUUCUUUCGCGUUUUUACCUGCCAAUCAAACCGCCACGAGACAACACCCUGGUCUGGCUUGGACAC